GCGGCCACGCGGGUGAGUGGCGCCGCCAUGCGCGCCCAGUCCCAGGCUGCACACUGGCCUAGGAGCGGCGGCCCGAGAUAGGGUCCCCUGAGCCUCCCGGGGGAGGAGAGGAGCCAGUCGCGCGCUCCGCCCCCUCCCCCCGGGUUGCCGCCACCGCCGCUGCCUCCGCCACCGCCACAGCCACCGCCACCUCGCCGCCCCAGCCUGGCGGGGAAGAGGAGGAGCAGUUGCAGGCCUCCGGGCCUCGGCACCGCCGCCCGCAGGUAACGGGAGGGGAGGGCCAGUGGGGAGACGGCGGGCCGGCCUGGGGACUGACACCACUUGUCACCCACCUGGACGCGGGAGGGAGAGGAAACCUGGUUUGUCACCCUGAUUCGUGCUGGGAGGCACCCACAGGGUCCCCCUCAUUGGCGAUUAAUCCUUAGAGGGGGACUGGCCUUGGUCCCAGCGGACCUGAAGCCGUCACCCAGAUCUUCCAGGGGAGCCUAUCGGCCAGAAAAUCCGCCCAAUAACAAAUGCUGUGCUGCCGGGCCAUUUAUUACCCGCUCACCUGGUCUACGCGCGAGCCCUAGACUUGUUUAUUCCUUCCUCUCCCAGGCUGCCCUACUCGCCCGCGUCGGAACGGCACUUUUCUUAAAAAGAAAUAGAGAAUGCAAACACUUCUAACCCCCUCCCACCUACCUGAGGAUCACUCUGUAGCUGGUCUUUUUACUGUCGGCCUAACAAAAAGCUAGGGGUUACCUGCAAGUGAAAUGACAACUAAGUUACAACUGAUUAAAGGAAAUCGCAUCAGUUUGGUUUUUGUAAACCUUAACCAGAAUCUAUUGAAAACCGCGAUGUUUACGUACUUUCACGGAACUUACAGAAAUUAAGACCAAAACUACUUUUUUAAGCAUAUAAGCAUACUAAUCUGUUGAAUGUGUGUUUUCAGAAAAAUUCUCAACUUCCGCUUAUUAGCAUUUUUUUGCAGAGAUAAGUUAAUACCCAAAGCGAACUAUACCAUAUAAUAGACAACAGAGGCUGGAUAAAGAUUUGAUAUUUCCUUUUGCCUUUUUGGUAAUUCUUGAUUUAAAAAGUACUACAUAGAUCUUGAUUUUUUUGUUCCUAUUUACUUUGAUUUCCAGUUGAUUUAUAAUAUUCGUUUAUGUCUUUGUAGUUCUCCCCAUGGAAUAUAAAAAGGAGUGUUUUCUUAAUCCAUUUGUAUUUUGUGAUGAUUUGUAUUUAUUAAUUACAAAAACCAGGUUUACUUACUUUGUGCAACAAUGCUUUGCUUUGUUAGAGCUAUAGUCUUAUUCUUAGAACCUGGUGAUAUAGUUACUUUUGAGUUUUAUAGAAUUGACAGAAACUUAGUAAUAUUAAUUGUAACUUGCCCCAGGUUGCCCAAUUGACAAUUGAACCCAGAGACAUUCCUGGGUAAGAUGGCUUUUUCCGCUGUACUUCUCAGUAGUAAUAUAAAUUUCUUUUAUGGCCUGGAAGUUUUCAGUUUCACAGAAGUUGUCAGGGAAAAUGCAGUGAACAUAGAUACCAGACUGGUGGUCAACCUUUUUCUCUGCAUUGUUGCCAGUUUUUCUUGUGGUUGCUACUGUUGCUGUUGUUGAGACAGUCUGCCUCUUCCUCCUAAGUGCUGGUUGGGAUUAGAUUUUUUUUCCCCCACCAUGUUUGAUUUUGUUUGUUUGUUGUUUUGUUUUUUGAAACAGGAUUUCUGUGUGUAGCCCUGGCUGGCCUGGAACUCACUCUGUAGACUGCCUAGCCUUAAACUCAAGUGAUCACAACGCCUGCCUCUGCCUCCCAAACACUAGGCUUGCAAUGUGGCCACCACCACCAGGCUCCAUGUUUGAUUCUUUUAUUUCCUAAAAAUACCAAGUCAAAUUAACAAUGUCCAUUAAAAUAUGUGUAUUCAGAUUUACUCUGUUGUUCCUAAGUGUUUCCACAGCUGUAGUCAAUCAAGGUUAUAGUGUUGCAUGUGGUGAUUGCAUAUACUUAGUCAUACCUUUUGUUAAAAAGGGUGGUACCCAGACCACUUUUCCAUUUUCUGGGCACUUAACUGACCAAUUGUUCUGUAGAAUCUGGCUACAUAUUUGAACUUUGACCUUGUCUUUGAGUGUCAAUUCACUUACUGUUCUUGUUAAGUAAAAGUUUGGUUCUAGACCUGUCCAACUGCUGGUCCAUGGUUGUAUCCAAAGGCAAGGAUAUCUGUGAAUACAUCCCAACACAAAGUUAUAAACUGAAAAUACUAGUUUGUGUGUGUGUGUGUGUGCACGCGCGCUUAUAACUUCAUGAAUUGCACGAUUUCUUUGAAAACUUUGUAGAUAAUGGUGAUAGCAUCUUGUCAAAAGAUUGGGCAUCCCUGGAACAAAGAUUUCAUUUGUUUAAGGGAAACCUUACUUGGCAAGAGUAUUUAAAUGGAUGAUACCCUGUAUCUCAUAAUUGUAUAUAUUAGGAGGUUUAUAGUGUUGGGACACCACACAGUUGGUAAUGUUAAAUGUGACUGCGUGGUUAAAGUGGUAACUACAAGGUCUUUUAUGAAGGUGUUGUUUGAGAGUUUGAUUAUAUGUGGUCUUACAGUACUCUGAUGAGAAGCAAGUAACUUCUGACUAUACUUUGCUUAGUGAUUUUUUAGCUCUUAAUCAGUUACUUUAUUGAAGUUCCCUGAAAUAUUUUUCUUUAUUAGAUAUUAUGAUGAUGAUGUAUCCUAAAGUUCUUCCUUUUCUUUUUUUCUUUUUCUUUUCUUUUUUUUUUACAGGAUUUCUCUGUAUAGCCCUGGCUGUCCUGGAACUCACUCUGUAGACCAGGUUGGCCUCGAACUCAGAAAUCUGCCUCCCAAGUGCUGGGAUUAAAGGCAUGCACCACCACUGCUCGGCUCUAAAGUUCUUCCUAAAAAUGCAGAUUAAAUGCUUGAUCAGUUUAAUACUGAUUUUUUUUUCUUUUUUUUUUCCAAGACAGUGUUUCUCUGUAUAGCCUUGGCUAUCCUGGAACUCACUCUGUAGACCAGGCUGGCCUCGAACUCAGAAAUCCGCCAGCCUCUGCCUCCCAAGUGCUGGGAUCAAAGGUGUGUGCCACCACUGCAUGGCUAAUAUUGAUUUUUAAAGAGAUGGGGAAAUUGUUAAACAAGUUGAUUUUUUUUUUUCAUUUUAGGGGGAUUGUGAUAGCCAUUAUGAACAUUAGAUUUGGGGUGAUAGUACUACUAGGGACUUUUAAUUUAUUCAUUUUAUAACCAAGUAGGCCCUUUUUGAGGGCCACAUUGGUUCCCAGUUUGUAGAUGAGAAUCUUUUUUUAUAGAUUUUACUUAUUUACUAUAUACAUGUAUAUUUGAAGAGUACACUGUCGCUGUCUUCGGACACACCAGGAGAGGGCAUCAAAUCUCAUUACAGAUGAUUGUGAACCACCAUGUGGUUGCUGGGAACUGAGCGCAAGGCCUCUGGAAGAGCAGUCAGUGCUCUUAACCACUGAGCCAUCUCUCCAGCCCAGUGGAAAUCUUUUCAAACUGACUGAAAUGUCUUUUGAUACUUAGGCAGGUUGUCCACUAUAUCAGCACUUUCUGGUACAGGGUAUCCUAGGAUGCUUUUGCUGUGGAAAGGGCUGUUUAUCUAGGGAGUCUUGGCUUAUUUCCGUGAAAAAUGCUUUAUACAAACAAAGAUCUGAAAGUUUGGCAUAAUCAUGUCUACCCUUUUAAGUUCUAUUUAUUUAUUUACUAUAUGUAAGUACUCUGUAGUUGUUUCAGACACAUGAAGAGGGCGUCAGAUCUUGUUAUGGAUGGUUGUGAGUCGCCAUGUGGUUGCUGGGAUUUGAAUUCAAGACCUUUGGAAGAGCAGUCAAUGCUCUUAACCGCUGAGCCAUCUCACCAGCCCCGUAUUACUGUUUCUUGAAAGGCUAGAACUAAAAAUUUAUUUACUUAGACAGGGUCUCACUAUAGCCCUGGCUGCUCUGGAAGUCACAGAAAUCCUCCUGCUGCCUCUCCAGUGCUGGAAUUAAAGAUGUGGGCCACCACACUUAGCCACUUUUGCAUUUGUUUAAUCAUGAGUUCAUAGUGUGAUAGAGAUGUCCAAUUGAAAUUACCUGGACAGACUUUAUCAUCUUUGAUUCUUUUGUCAAAAAAUGAAGAUCUUGCUAACAAGAGUAUGUUUAUUUGUGUUCUACUCUAAAUCAUUUUUUUUUUAAUUGCAGUACCAAUACUACAGAUUUUUAUUAAAGUUGGAGACUUAAGGAAUUCUUUUUAAGAUUUAAGAAUUUUUAUGUGUAUGGAUGUUUUACCUGCAUAUGUGUCUGUGUGCCUCAUGUGGACCUAGUGCCCUCAGAGACCAGAAGAGGGUAUUUGAAUCCCUGGAACUAAAGUUACAGUUGGUUGGUGAGCUCCCAUAUGGGGUACUGGGUCCUCUGCAUGGAUGGUAAGUACUCUUCAUUGCUAAGCCGUCUCUCUAUCCUAGAGUUUUAGUUUUGAAUAUAUAAAAUACAUACAUACUUCAAAAUAAUGUUACAAAAACUAUGCCUUUUAAAGACUUUACUCAAAGGCUAGAGAGAUGGCUCAGUGGUUAAGAGCACUAUUCCCAGCAACCACAUGGGAAUCUAAUGUCCUCUUUUGGUGUGUCUGAACACAGUUACAGUGUACUCAUAUACAUUAAAUAAAUCUUAAAAAACAAACAAACAAACAAACAAACCUGUACUCAAGAUAUUUCACUCAAGGGCCUAAGUUGAGACCUCAGUACUAUCCAAUACAUAUAUAUGUACAUCCAUAUAUACAUAUUGGCCCAAGUGCCAGAGAGUUACAGUAGGGUAGGCUGAAGCCACAUAGUAGUACUUUUAAGUAUUACAGUUACAUCCAGAUUCCUUUGGCUAAUUUUUGAAAAUUUUCAGAGAAGUACUUUUGAAGCUUGCUUUUGCAGGUGUCAUAAUUUAAGUAACAAUUUAUGAAAGAAAAACUGCAACUCUUACUUAAAAAAAUCCUGUUCUAUGGGAUGAGUAUUGGCUUCAUGGUAAAGUGUAGCAAGUAUGCCAUCCUGGGUUCAAGAGCCCUAGCACCAGUGCAUGGAGAGCUGGGAGCCCUGGAUUUGGUACAUGGGUAAAGGUAGCAGGAUUGCUGAGACUUGGUAGACAGCCAGUCUAGCCAGUAGAUGGUCUCCAAGAAAGAGACGAUGGUAGGCAGGAAACUUUGACCUUCCUUACACCCACACCCAAUCAUCUUUAAAGCUGAAUGUAAUUGAUAGAGGUUUUAUGAAUAUUUGCUUUUAUACUACACAGUAAAACUGGCAUUUAUAUGCUGUCUGCAGAUAUAAAGGACUUUUGGACAUGUGAUUGGUGAAGAUAGCACAUUUUAUUUGGAUUAGACAAAUUUAGUAAAAAUCCAUAACUAUAUGAUCUAAAAUACUGUGCUCACAUAGUUUUCAGAGAGCUCAGUGAUUGUCUAAAGUAGGUCUAUGUAGUCAUGCAGCAACGACAGCCUAUUGUAUGUUUAAGUGGGCUAAUAAGAUUAUAGUUGCUAGCAUUUGUUGUACCCUUCCUGUAUACCAGCUACAUUAAACAUUUUGUGAAUCAUCUCACUUAAAAGCUCAUUUUAACACUUAGAUUUUAUUUUGCAAGUAAGAAAACUGAUAUUCUAUAUAUUCUCUUCUAGAGAAUUAAAUGGUAUGUCUUAGAUGUCACUGCUAGUGAGUGGCAUACUCGGGUUUUAAAUUCAAGUGUAUCUUCAAAAUUCUUACCUACUUUAUGUAUCUCACAACUGAGUGUAGCAAGGCAUGACCGUGAGAGCUUAUUUUCAGUCACUAUACAUAAAGAACUGCAUGACUAACAUUAUUCUAUAGGAACACUGAAAUUGUAUUCUAGAAGUCACAAGUACUUGUCAUAUCUAUUAUAAAUCCUUAGAUUUUCCCCUUCUGAGGAAUGUGGGAGGCCUGACCCUGUAUCAGAAAUCAAGAUGGAUUGAUAAAUAGAAAAAAAAGUAUAUUACAGAGUAUAGCUAGGCCUGGAUGGCUAUUUAGAUAAUUAACUAUAAGUGUUUUAAAUUUUUUUCUCUAUAUUUGAAAUUUUUCACAGUACUAUGUGAGGGGGGAUGAUUAAAUAGCUAUUCUUAAUUAAGAACCAGUAUUACAGGGGCUGUAGCUCAGUGGAGAAGAGUACUGUCCCAGCAUGUGAGGUAGUUGCACUGUGUAGUGAGGUAGUGACAGGCAGAAACCUGUAAUGUCAGCACUCUAGAGUUGGAAGCAAGAGGAUUAAGGCCAUCCUAGACCUAAGCUAGUUUUGGCCACCCUGAGUUGUUGCAUGAGGUCCUGUUGCAAAACUGCAAUAAAGUUUGAGUCCUUC
rnacentral:lncRNA from 1 species